ACGCUGGCGGCAGGCCUAACACAUGCAAGUCGAGCGGUAGAGAGAAGCUUGCUUCUCUUGAGAGCGGCGGACGGGUGAGUAAUGCCUAGGAAUCUGCCUGGUAGUGGGGGAUAACGUUCGGAAACGGACGCUAAUACCGCAUACGUCCUACGGGAGAAAGCAGGGGACCUUCGGGCCUUGCGCUAUCAGAUGAGCCUAGGUCGGAUUAGCUAGUUGGUGGGGUAAUGGCUCACCAAGGCGACGAUCCGUAACUGGUCUGAGAGGAUGAUCAGUCACACUGGAACUGAGACACGGUCCAGACUCCUACGGGAGGCAGCAGUGGGGAAUAUUGGACAAUGGGCGAAAGCCUGAUCCAGCCAUGCCGCGUGUGUGAAGAAGGUCUUCGGAUUGUAAAGCACUUUAAGUUGGGAGGAAGGGUUGUAGAUUAAUACUCUGCAAUUUUGACGUUACCGACAGAAUAAGCACCGGCUAACUCUGUGCCAGCAGCCGCGGUAAUACAGAGGGUGCAAGCGUUAAUCGGAAUUACUGGGCGUAAAGCGCGCGUAGGUGGUUAGUUAAGUUGGAUGUGAAAUCCCCGGGCUCAACCUGGGAACUGCAUUCAAAACUGACUGACUAGAGUAUGGUAGAGGGUGGUGGAAUUUCCUGUGUAGCGGUGAAAUGCGUAGAUAUAGGAAGGAACACCAGUGGCGAAGGCGACCACCUGGACUGAUACUGACACUGAGGUGCGAAAGCGUGGGGAGCAAACAGGA
rnacentral:rRNA from 1 species